AGGUGCCACGACGAGGCGAGCGCGCAGGAGGGGCGUGGCCUAAGCGCGAGGAGCGCGUUCUCCUCUGCUCCAGCCUCCCAGAGGCCCUGUGGGCCUCGCGGGGACGUCGGCCGCCUGCCUCCUCCACGGCCUGCGGAGACUGUGGGCUGGCGCGGGUCCCCGGCGCGGUGCGAGGGCCCGGAGCCGGCUCCCUGGGGGUUCGUGCGCCGCCCGGCCUCGGCUACCUCCAGCGCGCCUGCGUCGCCGCCGCCGGCGGACUCUGUUCCCGGUGAGCUCCGUGCACCUGCCGCCGCCCGCCGCGCGGCCCCUGCCCUGCCCGGCACCCUGGGCGCGGCUCCCCUCCCGGGGGCUCGCUUCGCGCUGGCCGCCGCCCCGGCCCCGCUCUGCCCGUGCCCGGUGCGCGGAUUUCCCCGGGUCGCGAGCAUUCCGGGAGUCCGGGAGCGCGCGGCCCAGCGCCUGCGAACCGGUUCACUCCCGGCGUCGUCUCCAGUAGAGGCCGCUAAGCUGAGUGAUUCCAUCUCACCGAUCGUCUGCACGUCCAUUCCUUCGUUUCUCCUAGUUCAGAAGCGACCCCUCGUUUCCCAGCGACAACGGCAGAUAGGACGAAACAGCGACAGGAAGCUGCGGGCGCUAAGGAGGGCUGCUGCUCUGCGAUACGGCAGCCAAACGAGGCAACCGCGGAGAGGGAGGAGCCCCCAGCA
rnacentral:lncRNA from 1 species